rnacentral:rRNA from 1 species
CCGGAGCUUGCUCCACCGGAAAAAGAAGAGUGGCGAACGGGUGAGUAACACGUGGGUAACCUGCCCAUCAGAAGGGGAUAACACUUGGAAACAGGUGCUAAUACCGUAUAACAAUCGAAACCGCAUGGUUUUGAUUUGAAAGGCGCUUUCGGGUGUCGCUGAUGGAUGGACCCGCGGUGCAUUAGCUAGUUGGUGAGGUAACGGCUCACCAAGGCCACGAUGCAUAGCCGACCUGAGAGGGUGAUCGGCCACAUUGGGACUGAGACACGGCCCAAACUCCUACGGGAGGCAGCAGUAGGGAAUCUUCGGCAAUGGACGAAAGUCUGACCGAGCAACGCCGCGUGAGUGAAGAAGGUUUUCGGAUCGUAAAACUCUGUUGUUAGAGAAGAACACCCCAUGAGAGUAACUGUUCAUCCCUUGACGGUAUCUAACCAGAAAGCCACGGCUAACUACGUGCCAGCAGCCGCGGUAAUACGUAGGUGGCAAGCGUUGUCCGGAUUUAUUGGGCGUAAAGCGAGCGCAGGCGGUUUCUUAAGUCUGAUGUGAAAGCCCCCGGCUCAACCGGGGAGGGUCAUUGGAAACUGGGAGACUUGAGUGCAGAAGAGGAGAGUGGAAUUCCAUGUGUAGCGGUGAAAUGCGUAGAUAUAUGGAGGAACACCAGUGGCGAAGGCGGCUCUCUGGUCUGUAACUGACGCUGAGGCUCGAAAGCGUGGGGAGCAAACAGGAUUAGAUACCCUGGUAGUCCACGCCGUAAACGAUGAGUGCUAAGUGUUGGAGGGUUUCCGCCCUUCAGUGCUGCAGCUAACGCAUUAAGCACUCCGCCUGGGGAGUACGACCGCAAGGUUGAAACUCAAAGGAAUUGACGGGGGCCCGCACAAGCGGUGGAGCAUGUGGUUUAAUUUGAAGCAACGCGAAGAACCUUACCAGGUCUUGACAUCCUUUGACCACUUUAGAGAUAGAGCUUCCCCUUCGGGGGCAAAGUGACAGGUGGUGCAUGGUUGUCGUCAGCUCGUGUCGUGAGAUGUUGGGUUAAGUCCCGCAACGAGCGCAACCCUUAUUGUUAGUUGCCAUCAUUCAGUUGGGCACUUUAGCAAGACUGCCGGUGACAAACCGGAGGAAGGUGGGGA